rnacentral:lncRNA from 1 species
GAGUUUCAAAACAUUGAGUAUGAGACUUUAAUUUUCGGGUCAUGUUUUCUGAUACGAAUAUUCUUGACUAAUUAUGUUAGGUAACUACUAAAAAAAUAGAAUAUGUUGCAAACUUUAAAAAUAAAGUUUAAAAAUAGUUUCUGAAAUAUAUAUGGCACAAGUAUAUAGUUAUGCAGCUUGACAUAUUUAGUAUAGUUACCAAAAAUUAUAUUAAAUUAAAUUAAUAUUAAUUACAAAUAUAGUUACAAAAACACAAAUAUAAAAAAUUAAAUUUUAAAAAAAAAGAAUUAAAACAAAAAUUAUACCCGGCCUUUCAAGGGCGGGUCAGAAUCUAGUAUUAUAUUGAAAAUGCUGCAAGGCAUAUUCGACCUCCAUACUUGUCUAUCCAAACUUUAUCAGUAAGUUAUAUUUGUAAUAUUUUAUCUAAUUUUUUGUUAUGUAAUUCCACAGAAAGCAACGUUUUUCUGAAACACCGAAACAUCUAAGAUAUUCUUUAGAAUAAAACGACGUGUACACGGCUUUCUCGCCGUUGAUAUAUUUAGGCUAUAUUCGAAAUUUUAAACGUGAGUCUUGUUGUAUUAACUUUCACCUUUUAAUGUCAACGUGACAUAAUUUGUUUUCCACCGGAGAAACAGAAGCAUAAAUCUCUUUUCGUAUUUGUGUGAUGAUUAUGAAUGGGCCCUUAUGGGCUUCGUGUGAGGAAUCAAAACCCCACUAAUAUGAUGUUUACUGAUAAUUGGAUCCGUUUCGAAUUCUGCUCUCUUUGUAGUUCUCAAACGUAUACUUUACCAAACGAGGCCUGCUACAACCUCGCGAACUGGUACCGGGAUGACAUCUUCUCACGCCCGUUCCAUUUCUUUCAUAUCUGUGUUUGCUGUUUCGUCUAGUGAGAAUCUACAUAGAAUGAGGAACUUGUCAUCCAUCGUUUUGGCUAACACGGAAGAGUCGAGAAAAAUGAAUCCAUA